rnacentral:rRNA from 1 species
UGCAGUCGAGGGGCAGCAUUAAAGUUUGCUUGCAACUUUAGAUGGCGACCGGCGCACGGGUGAGUAACACGUAUCCAACCUGCCGAUAACUCGGGGAUAGCCUUUCGAAAGAAAGAUUAAUACCCGAUGGUAUAUUUUCACCGCAUGGUGAAACUAUUAAAGAAUUUCGGUUAUCGAUGGGGAUGCGUUCCAUUAGGCAGUUGGUGAGGUAACGGCUCACCAAACCUUCGAUGGAUAGGGGUUCUGAGAGGAAGGUCCCCCACAUUGGAACUGAGACACGGUCCAAACUCAUACGGGAGGCAGCAGUGAGGAAUAUUGGUCAAUGGGCGCGAGCCUGAACCAGCCAAGUAGCGUGAAGGAUGACGGCCCUAUGGGUUGUAAACUUCUUUUAUAUGGGAAUAAAGUUUGGUAUGCAUACCAUUUUGUAUGUACCAUAUGAAUAAGGAUCGGCUAACUCCGUGCCAGCAGCCGCGGUAAUACGGAGGAUCCGAGCGUUAUCCGGAUUUAUUGGGUUUAAAGGGAGCGUAGGUGGAUUGUUAAGUCAGUUGUGAAAGUUGCGGCUCAACCGUAAAAUUGCAGUUGAAACUGGCAGUCU